rnacentral:lncRNA from 1 species
AAGCCCAAGUUUCUGUGAUCAUCAGAUCAAAACUAAUUUCCCCUUAGGAAAGAAUACCCUGUGAAGUUGUAUGGUCCACACCCUUUUCGGCAAGUUCAGGGAUAAUUUUUGUAGGAUAGUCAAGUGGGCCUCAAGCCUCUCCCAUGUUUUUGAGACAUUUAUUGUCUUAUUGGAGUGCUCAGCUCAAGAACAACACAACUCAAUAGUUGUAGUGAUUAAUCAGUGUCUCGAGGCCCUGUGUUAAGCUCUUCACUUGCACAGUGGGUAUAAUUAUGAAUCCCAGUUUUACAGUAAGAGGAGUGAGGAUGGUUAGUUGGUUAGUUGGCUGAUUGUACAGAUGAGUCUAACAUGGUGGUUAAAGGCAAAACUAUUUACACUGACUAGCUUCAAGUUGUGACUCUGACAGUAAUAAAAUGUGUGACCUUGGGCAAGUUUCCAAAUCUUUCCAUGCCUCAGUUUUCUCAACUAUACAAUGGGGAUAGAAAUAUCCACCUCACAGAGUAAUGGUGAAGAAUGAAUAGAUAAGAUAUGAACAAUGCAUGGUAUGGCUCCUGGAAAUGAUAAGCAUUCAAUAAAUGUUGGUUAUAAGUUAAAAAAAAAANNNNNNNNNNAAAAAAAAAACUCUGAAGAUGUUUUCUUCCAUGCUGUGGUUUCAGGUUGCUG